AUUGAACGCUGGCGGCAGGCCUAACACAUGCAAGUCGAGCGGAGCGGCGGACGGGUGAGUAAUGCCUAGGAAUCUGCCUGGUAGUGGGGGAUAACGUCCGGAAACGGGCGCUAAUACCGCAUACUAUCAGAUGAGCCUAGGGCGGAUUAGCUAGUUGGUGGGGUAAAGGCCUACCAAGGCGACGAUCCGUGCCUGGUCUGAGAGGAUGAUCAGUCACACGGGAACUGAGACACGGUCCAGACUCCCACGGGAGGCAGCAGUGGGGAAUAUGGCACAAUGGGCGCAAGCCUGAUGCAGCCAUGCCGCGUGUGUGAAGAAGGCCUUCGGGUUGUAAAGCACUUUCAGCGGGGAGGCGGUACCCGCAGAAGAAGCACCGGCUAACUCCGUGCCAGCAGCCGCGGUAAUUC
rnacentral:rRNA from 1 species